UCGUCCGUGUUGAAUCCCCUUGAAUUUACAUUUGUAAUUACCAGACCUAGCGACUCCACUGAAACUGAAGCAUGUUAGCGGCGGCGGCCGCUACGGCGUUGAGCCCAUUUGUUAUGUUUUCCGGCAAAAAAUUUCGCUCUUAUCCUGGCUUAUCGGUUUCGUCUUCUCCUAUACGUCACUCUCUUCGUGGCUCGUCUUCUUCUACGAGCUCAUCGCCGGAGCUACAGAGAAGGAAAGGGCUGACCUCUGUGGCUCUAAUAACGAGCGGUGCAUGCCUUGCCCUAGCCGCAGCUGCGUGCGCAUUUCCCUCCGCAGCAUGCGCAGCCCUGCCGACGCUUAAAGAGCCCCAGAACGCUCUCUCCCUGCCGACUUGGGCCAUUCAUGUGUCCAGCGUCAUCGAGUGGAUUACAGCCAUGGCUUUAGUUUGGGAAUACGGGGAAAAGUCGGGGUUUUCGGCUUGGAAAGGACUUUCCUGGGGAAUGGUUCCACUUCUUGGUGGAGCUAUGUGUGCAUGCACAUGGCAUUUCUUCUAUAACUCUGAGUCGCUUGAGAUUUUGGUGGCUGCACAAGGUGCAUUAACAGUUGUUGGUAAUAUGACCAUGUGUAUUGCUGCAUUUCGUAUAUUUAAAGCAGACCAGGGAAGCUCUAAUAACUCUUGACUAUUGCUCAUUGAAUUGCUAGUUUUUCUCUCUGCCCAAAGUACAAUUGGUUUUAAAUUUUUGCUCCAGACUCUUCAUUGAUCCCACCUUGUAGCUGCUCAGAUAUGCUCAGAGGAUAGAAAAGACAUCAGAAAGCACUAGUAUGGGUGCUCUUCCUCCAAGAUAAAGCCAUCACGGCGUGUUGUGGUGUCUCUUAUAACUAUACAGAUCAGCCCACCCUUUGAGAACUUCAGCAGUAAUAAUGCCAGGUUGAAAUUGUUAUUCUGCGAAUUUUUUAAAUAAGGGUCGUCUGUUGCAAAUAUCCGGAGUGUUCAAUAAAAAAAGGGUAAAUUUUUAUUUUUUUUGGUGUUUGGUUUGAAGUAUUCAAAUAGAAAGCAUUUUUAUAGGGGACUUGGAAUAUCUUGUGAUGUUGGCUAAUUUCAAAUUAAGGAAAAUUUCCAAUCUA